AGAGUUUGAUCAUGGCUCAGGAUGAACGCUGGCGACGUGGAUAAGGCAUGCAAGUCGAACGGUUGUAGCAAUACAACAGUGGCGAACGGGUUAGUAACACGUAGAUAUCAACCCUUUACUCGGGCAUAACCUGGAGAAAUCUAGGCUAAUUCCCGAUAGUCCGGAAACGGUAAAGAUUUUUCGGUAAAGGAUGAGUCUGCGUCCUAUCAGCUAGUUGGUGAGGUAAUGGCCCACCAAGGCAAUGACGGGUAGGCGGAGUGAGAGCUUGACCGCCAACAAUGGCACUGGAACAUGGGCCAUACUCCUACGGGAGGCAGCAGUCGAGAAUAUUUGACAAUGGCGAAAGCCUGAUCAAGCGACGUCGCGUGUGGGAUUAAGAUCUUCGGAUUGUAAACCACUUUUCUAGGGGAAGAACUUUGACUGUACCCUAGGAAUAAGGGGUGACUAAACUCGUGCCAGCAGUAGCGGUAAUACGAGUGCCCCAAGCGUUAUCCGGAUUUAUUGGGCGUAAAGGGUCUGUAGGUGGUUUGUUAAGUUUCUCGUUAAAGCUCCAGGGCUUAACCUUGGAAAAGCGGGAAAAACUGGCAAACUAGAGGAUGUUAGAGGCUGAUGGAACACUUGGUGAAGGGGUGGAAUCCGUUGAUAUCAAGUGGAACACCGAAAGCGAAGGCAAUCAGCUGGGACAGUCCUGACACUGAAAGACGAAAGCGUGGGGAGAGAAAAGGGUUAGAUACCCUUGUAUUCCACGCCUUAAACGAUGAAUACUGGCUAUUGCAAGUGUCGACCCUUGCAGUGGCGAAGCUAACGCGUUAAGUAUUCCGCCUGGGAAGUACGGCCGCAAGGCUAAAACUCAAAUGAAUUGACGGAAUCACUAGUGCGGCCGCCUGCAGGUCGACC
rnacentral:rRNA from 1 species